rnacentral:rRNA from 1 species
AACGAACGCUGGCGGCAUGCCUAACACAUGCAAGUCGAACGAGACCUUCGGGUCUAGUGGCGCACGGGUGCGUAACGCGUGGGAAUCUGCCCUUGGGUUCGGAACAACAGUUGGAAACGACUGCUAAUACCGGAUGAUGACUUCGGUCCAAAGAUUUAUCGCCAAAGGAUGAGCCCGCGUAGGAUUAGCUUGUUGGUGAGGUAAAAGCUCACCAAGGCGACGAUCCUUAGCUGGUCUGAGAGGAUGAUCAGCCACACUGGGACUGAGACACGGCCCAGACUCCUGCGGGAGGCAGCAGUGGGGAAUAUUGGACAGUGGGCGAAAGCCUGAUCCAGCAAUGCCGCGUGAGUGAUGAAGGCCUUAGGGUUGUAAAGCUCUUUUACCCGGGAUGAUAAUGACAGUACCGGGAGAAUAAGCCCCGGCUAACUCCGUGCCAGCCGCCGCUGUAA